rnacentral:rRNA from 1 species
GACGAACGCUGGCGGCGUGCUUAACACAUGCAAGUCGAACGGGAUUUAGUAGACAGAAGCCUCGGCUAAAGAUUACUAAUGAGAGUGGCGAACGGGUGAGUAACGCGUGAGCAACCUGCCUAUGACAGUGGGAUAGCCUCGGGAAACCGGGAUUAAUACCGCAUAAAAUCGUAGAAACACAUGUUUUAACGGUCAAAGAUUUAUCGGUCAUAGAUGGGCUCGCGUCUGAUUAGCUAGUUGGUGAGAUAACAGCCCACCAAGGCGACGAUCAGUAGCCGGUCUGAGAGGAUGAACGGCCACAUUGGAACUGAGACACGGUCCAAACUCCUACGGGAGGCAGCAGUGGGGAAUAUUGCACAAUGGAGGAAACCCUGAUGCAGCGACGCCGCGUGAACGAAGAAGGUAUUCGUAUCGUAAAGUUCUGUCCUAUGGGAAGAUAAUGACAGUACCAGAGAAGAAAGCUCCGGCUAAAUACGUG